rnacentral:rRNA from 1 species
ACGAAGGUGGCAAGCGUUGUUCGGAUUUACUGGGCGUAAAGGGAGCGUAGGUGGUUAGGUAAGCCCUCCGGGAAAUCUUCAGGCUUAACCUGAAAAGGUCGGGGGGGACUGCCUAGCUAGAGGGCGGGAGAGGAGCGCGGAAUUCCCGGUGUAGCGGUGAAAUUCGUAGAUAUUGGGAAGAACACCGGUGGCGAAGGCGGCUCACUGGCUCGUUUCUGACGCUCAGGCGCGAUAGCGUGGGGAUCAAACAGGA